rnacentral:misc_RNA from 1 species
CCGAACUUUUUAACAUUUAAGGCUCUCUUUUGGCGCUACUGUGUCACAAAGAGUUGCUUUAAAGGCGAGCUCGCGAUGUGACUCGGGCCCUCGACCGCUCUCUUUCUCGAGAGAGAGAGUAAUAAUGGUAGGGCUAGUCCAGCUUGCUCGGCAUGGAGCCAUUGGCAACAUGCAACCAACCCGAGUAAUAAACCGCGAGAGAGCUCAUGUAUGGUGCAAGCCGUGCUUUGGUGGGGCUUUUUUCUGCCUCUUAAAGUGUUUCAUUCGCCAAGCACGAGUUUUGCCGUUUGGGGCUUUCCCGUAUGUGUACGCUCGAAAAAUGUUCCGUCUUUGUGGACGCUGCUAACGUACAUAUAUAUAUGAUGCAUAUAUAUAUGAUGUAUGCGACCCACGGAACGCAAGCUAAACCGUCAUUAUGAAAAAUCAUCAAAAAAACAAAGUAAAAAAU